rnacentral:rRNA from 1 species
GCGGUAGGCUUAAACAUGCAAGUCGUGCGAGAAAGUAUCUUCGGAUAUGAGUAGAGCGGCGGACGGGUGAGUAACGCGUAGGAAUCUACCUAGUAGAAGGGGAUAGCCCGGGGAAACUCGGAUUAAUACCGUAUACCUCCUUUGGGAGAAAGAGGGCCUCUCUUGAUGCUCUCGCUAUUAGAUGAGCCUGCGUAAGAUUAGCUUGUUGGUAAGGUAAUGGCUUACCAAGGCUUCGAUCUUUAGCUGGUCUGAGAGGACGAUCAGCCACAUUGGGACUGAGACACGGCCCAGACUCCUACGGGAGGCAGCAGUGGGGAAUAUUGGACAAUGGGCGCAAGCCUGAUCCAGCCAUACCGCGUGUGUGAAGAAGGCCUUCGGGUUGUAAAGCACUUUAAGCAGGGAGAAAAAGCUAUAAGUUAAUACCUUAUAGCCGUGAUGUUACCUGCAGAAUAAGCACCGGCUAAU